GGAUGUGAGGGCAAUCUGGCUGCGACCUCUGCUACCCCAUUGAUUGCUAGGGGUGAUUUGGCUGAUCUGGCUGGCUAGCCAGGUGUCCCCUUCCUCCCUCACCACUCCACGUGUGUCCCUCCCAAAGCUGCAGGCCCAGUGGAAGAGGAUAACCUUCCCCAGAGGAAGACCGCUUUUCGGUCAAGGGUAUACCAGUGGCUGUGCUCUCUGCUCGAACCUUCAAACAAGCUCUGAAGGUGCAUUUAUAGAGAGCGUAGGAUAGUCAAAUUUUCCAGACCCCGGACACAUCCAAAUGAAGCCCUGUGUGUGGCAGGCUGCCUUUCUGU
rfam:Equus caballus chromosome 15, whole genome shotgun sequence.